GUCCACGCCCUAAACGAUGUUCACUAGGUGUUGGGAGUAUUGACCCUUCCAGCGCCGAAGCUAACGCAUUAAGUGAACCGCCUGGGGAGUACGGUCGCAAGACUAAAACUCAAAGGAAUUGACGGGGGCCCGCACAAGCGGUGGAGUAUGUGGUUUAAUUCGACGCAACGCGAAGAACCUUACCUGGGUUAGAAAUCAACUAGACGGGUUGUAGAGAUAUGAUCCUUCCCCGCAAGGGGACUGGUUGACAGGUGCUGCAUGGCUGUCGU
rnacentral:rRNA from 1 species